GAUGAACGCUGGCGGCGUGCCUAAUACAUGCAAGUCGAGCGAACAGACGAGGAGCUUGCUCCUCUGACGUUAGCGGCGGACGGGUGAGUAACACGUGGAUAACCUACCUAUAAGACUGGGAUAACUUCGGGAAACCGGAGCUAAUACCGGAUAAUAUAUUGAACCGCAUGGUUCAAUAGUGAAAGACGGUUUUGCUGUCACUUAUAGAUGGAUCCGCGCCGCAUUAGCUAGUUGGUAAGGUAACGGCUUACCAAGGCAACGAUGCGUAGCCGACCUGAGAGGGUGAUCGGCCACACUGGAACUGAGACACGGUACAGACUCCUACGGGAGGCAGCAGUAGGGAAUCGUCCGCAAAGGGCGAAAGCCUGACGGAGCAACGCCGCGUGAGUGAUGAAGGUCUUCGGAUCGUAAAACUCUGUUAUUAGGGAAGAACAAAUGUGUAAGUAACUAUGCACGUCUUGACGGUACCUAAUCAGAAAGCCACGGCUAACUACGUG
rnacentral:rRNA from 1 species